AGGUCCCAGCCGGAGCGGUGAUUGGGUGGAAGUCCCAGCCGCGGCAGUAGACCCCGCCCGUGCGGUGAUUGGACGCAGGUCCCGGGCCGCGGCGGCGGCGGGCGACCGAAAGAGGCUGGUGCUGGCUGCAUGCGGGGUCGGCGGGUGGACCCCGCGGCUGGGGCCCGGGCCGGGGCCCUUCCUGAGGCCAUCGCUGCGUUGAGUCGGUCGCUGCCCUCGGGACCCAGCCCCGAGAUCUUCCGCCGCGCCAAAUUCGACCGUCCGGAUGCGACCUCCGCGCUCUGGCAGCUCCUCUUCCGCGUGCUCUCCCCACUCCCUGCGGGCAGCGCCUUGGCCUCGAUCGCCCUGGAGGUCCAAGCCCGCUUGGUGAAGUCAGCACUGUGCUCCCAGGGCUACCCGAGGCUGGCACUGGCACAACUACCUGAGGAUGGCUCGCAGGGCAGCCGGGAGCUGCUGCUGGCUCUGUCCUGGCUCUUGGCCCGAGGACCUGUGCCCGAGCAGAUGGUGGCCCAGACCCGAGUGCCUCUGGGUGACGAGAUGACUGUGUGCCAGUGUGAGGCCCUGGCCAGCCUUGGCCCACCUGCACCCCACAUGGAAACAGAGGGUCCUGUGGAUGUCCGCCAUGUGCAGUGGUUGAUGGGAAAGCUGCGGUUCCGGUGGCGCCAGCUGGUGUCCAGUCAGCAGGAGCAGUGCGCCCUCCUGAGCAAGAUUCAUCUGUACACACGCGGCUGCCACAGUGACCAGAGCCUUGGCCAUCUGUCUGUCACUGAAGCGGAGAUGCUCAGGGACCCAGAGGGAGGCCAGCAGGUUUCUGGAGCGGGAGCUGCCCAAAACCUGGACCUGGCCUACCCAAAGGGCCUACACUUCUCCUGCACUCCUGGGAUGGGUCCCAGAACCUUCUGGAAUGAUCUGUGGCUGGUAUGUCAGCAACCAGGCCUGUUGCCGGGUGACUGGGCAGCUCCCUUGGAUCCUGGUGGGGCCUCAGCCUGCAGCCUCCUUUUCCCUCUUAGGGUGGUAAGUGGAGGGAGGCUGGCAGGGCAGUGGAGACCACAGGACUUGGGGGUGGGUGGGAGGGGCGUGCUUGCCCCUCUUCUCCUGUCUGCUCCCGCCCUGGCCCUUCUUGGGAACUGCGGUGAUUGCCUUUUGUUAGGUAUGUUUCAGUGGCUGUCCCCAUGGUGGAGGUCUCUGCUUUUCUCGUGGCCUGCCUGGGUGGGCAGGUGGGCCGCAGCCCCUGGCACCAGCCUUCUCCAGCUCCCACGCCGCCCACAGACCUGCCUGUCCUCAUAUUCUCUGACCAUGGGCCUGCCUGCCUCUGCUCUGCUCCGCCCCGCCCCAGCUGCUGCGGACUCUGGAGCAUGAGAACCGGCGCCUGGAGGCUGUCCUGGCGUGGCGGCGCGCAGAGCUGGUCUUCUGGCAGUGGAUGGACACAGUCCUGGGCACCUGUGCCCCGGAGGCACCUGCUGCAGCUUCACAGCCCACCUUCCUGCCCUGGGUCCCUGAGUGCGGGGAUGGCGAGUUGGAGCUGGUAGUGCGGGAGCUGCGGACCCUGGAGGAGGAGCUGCGGGAGGCUGCCGAGCGCAGGCGGGUGGCCUGGGAGGCCAAGGCUCGAGGCUGUGGACGGGGGCCAGAGUGGAGUGCCGCGCGGCGGGCCUGUCGGGAGACUGUGGAAAAGGAGCUGGGAGCUCUGCAGCGGUGCUGGGAGCAAGACAGGAGCCCAGCCCAGGCCCAUGGGCCACACCGACUGGUGAGACGAGAGGAUGGGGCAGCAGGCGACCGGGACCUGCGGGCAGCUGAGCUGAUCAGGACACUGAGGAGCCAGGAGGCCUGCCUGGAGGCGAUGCUACGUCAACUACAGGGACAGUGUCGGCAGGAACUGGCCAGGCUAGCGGGAGCCCUGCCUGGCCUCAUCUGGAUCCCGCCACCUGGACGCUGAGGGCCUGUGGACGGGCCCUCGUGGGAAGCCUGCCCUGGCCCAGCCUGGCUGUGUCCUGGAGGAGCAGAUUCCAAGGCCAGGUGGCCACAGGGAUGAUGCAGAUGCAGAGCCCACGUCACACGCUCACUCCAGGGGCUGGGGCUGGGUUGACUCUUGCUGGAGCCCGGGCCCGUGGCCAGCAGCACUGAGGACAGGAAUGGCUGAUCCCCUGAGGAGGCCGUGACGGGCCCGGCCUGGUGGUCUGGAGGGAACUCGGAAAUAAAUUGUAGUGGCUUUCCUG